rnacentral:tmRNA from 1 species
CGACUUCAAAAAGCGAUGCGGCGUGCCUAUAUUGGGUGCGUCGGGAAACCGACUAUGGCGAUAAACGCCGCGUGGCAUAAGCGUAUCGGACCCGGGGGCAGUACCCGGCGCCUCCACCAUUUUCCCUCGCUUCUCGAAGCGAGGUCGAUGGGGGCGAAACAGGAUCGACGAGCGUGGUAAAGGCGCGGUUUUUGCCCGGCAUGGUUCCGCCGUAAAGGGCCACACACAAGUGCCAACGAUAACGACGUUGCACUCGCUGCUGCCGCCUAAACAGCGGACGUAAGCGCGGUUUCGGGAGGGGCACCGGGCAACAGAAGCCCCUCCCACU